ACGGAAGGCAGCAGUGAGGAAUAUUGGUCAAUGGGCGGAAGCCUGAACCAGCCAAGUCGCGUGAAGGAAGAAGGUAUUAUGUAUUGUAAACUUCUUUAGUCGCAGAGAAAUAAGGCGGUCGUGACCGCUGAUGCUAGUAUGCGAAGAAUAAGGAUCGGCUAACUCCGUGCCAGCAGCCGCGGUAAUACGGAGGAUCCGAGCGUUAUCCGGAUUUAUUGGGUUUAAAGGGUGCGCAGGCGGUCUUUUAAGUCAGUGGUUAAAUCGUGGAGCUCAACUCCAUCCCGCCAUUGAUACUGGGAGACUUGAUUGCGGUCGAGGUUGGCGGAAUUCGUCGUGUAGCGGUGAAAUGCAUAGAUAUGACGAAGAACACCGAUUGCGUAGGCAGCUGACCAGGCCGUAAAUGACGCUCAUGCACGAAAGUGCGGGGAUCGAACAGGAUUAGAUACCCUGGUA
rnacentral:rRNA from 1 species